AGAAGAAGCAGCAGCAGCAGCAGCUCAACAGCCCCAAAUCUUCAAAGAACACGACCAACUAUAUCAGAUAGUCGCACUCUGCUCAGCACUUCAAUUCAAGAGGAGAGAAAUCAAAUGGAAAAUGGUAGUGUUUCCAUCAUUAGUAACAAGUUUUUUAACUGGCUUUCUGAACUAUCAGCUGGUAAUUUAGAAGAUCAGGUUAAAUCAAUGGAAAAAGAAGUAAUGCUAAUGCGUGCUUUACUUGAGGAUUUUCAAGCAACUGAGAAACCAAGCAGAAGACUGAAAGUAUGGCUGGAGGAAAUAAGAGGAAUUGCUGAUGAUGCAGAGGGUGUCAUUAAAACCUACAGCGAAAGAAGCCAAAAGGAUCUCUCAAACUAUGAGGAUAUGAUGAUUCGAAAUAAGAUUGCCAAUGACAUAAGUAGGGUCAUGAAUAAGAUUCGUGAUGUUUCAGAAAGAAGGGAAGCUUCAAACUCUAUUUUCCAUAGCCUAUGUCAAAGACGACCACCGCCUAAUAUCAUUGGCUUUGAUGAUGAUGUAUGUGCAAUUAAAAAACGGCUACUCACAGAUGAUAGAUACUGCUGCAUAAUUUCAAUUCUGGGUGAAGAAGGCACUGGAAAGACUACCCUUGCAAAAUUAAUCUAUAACGAUAUUGAGGUUAUGGAUCAUUUCCCUUUUCGAGCUUGGAUUUCUGUACCACAAGAGAACAGUGAUAGGGCAGUGCUGCAAGACAUACAGAAACAAGUUAUGGAUUAUCUUCGACAAAAAGGCAAAUGGAACAUGGAAGAAGAACCACUUGCUGUCUUGGAUGGUAGGUACCUGAUAAUCUUGGAUGAUAUCCGAAAAGCCCAAGUCUUGGAUUUUCUUAGAAAUGCAUUCCCAGAUAAAUCAAAUGGUAGUAGAAUACUGAUCACUACCCAAGAGAUGGCUAUAGG
rnacentral:misc_RNA from 1 species